UGAACGCUGGCGGCAUGCCUUACACAUGCAAGUCGAACGGCAGCGGGGGUAGCUUGCUACCUGCCGGCGAGUGGCGAACGGGUGAGUAAUACAUCGGAACGUGCCCUGUAGUGGGGGAUAACUAGUCGAAAGACUAGCUAAUACCGCAUACGACCUGAGGGUGAAAGUGGGGGACCGCAAGGCCUCAUGCUAUAGGAGCGGCCGAUGUCUGAUUAGCUAGUUGGUGGGGUAAAGGCCCACCAAGGCGACGAUCAGUAGCUGGUCUGAGAGGACGAUCAGCCACACUGGGACUGAGACACGGCCCAGACUCCUACGGGAGGCAGCAGUGGGGAAUUUUGGACAAUGGGGGCAACCCUGAUCCAGCAAUGCCGCGUGUGUGAAGAAGGCCUUCGGGUUGUAAAGCACUUUUGUCCGGAAAGAAAUCGCUUCGGUUAAUACCUGGAGUGGAUGACGGUACCGGAAGAAUAAGGACCGGCUAACUACGUGCCAGCAGCCGCGGUAAUACGUAGGGUCCAAGCGUUAAUCGGAAUUACUGGGCGUAAAGCGUGCGCAGGCGGUUGUGCAAGACCGAUGUGAAAUCCCCGGGCUUAACCUGGGAAUUGCAUUGGUGACUGCACAGCUAGAGUGUGUCAGAGGGAGGUAGAAUUCCACGUGUAGCAGUGAAAUGCGUAGAGAUGUGGAGGAAUACCGAUGGCGAAGGCAGCCUCCUGGGAUAACACUGACGCUCAUGCACGAAAGCGUGGG
rnacentral:rRNA from 1 species